rnacentral:rRNA from 1 species
CACGUAGUUAGCCGGUGCUUAUUCUUACGGUACCGUCAUGAGCCCCAGGUAUUAACCAGAGCCUUUUCGUUCCGUACAAAAGCAGUUUACAACCCGAGGGCCUUCAUCCUGCACGCGGAAUGGCUGGAUCAGGCUUGCGCCCAUUGUCCAAAAUUCCCCA